rnacentral:rRNA from 1 species
CCUACGGGAGGCAGCAGUGGGGAAUAUUGCACAAUGGGGGGAACCCUGAUGCAGCAAUGCCGCGUGGGUGAAGAAGCACUCCGGUGCGUACAGCCCUGUCAGCAGGGAAGAAAAUGACAGUACCUGGACAAGAAGCCCCGGCUAACUACGUGCCAGCAGCCGCGGUAAUACGUAGGGGGCAAGCGUUAUCCGGAUUUACUGGGUGGAAAGGGAGCGCAGGCGGCGGGGCAAGUCAGAUGUGAAAACCCGGGGCUCAACCCCGGGAGUGCAUUUGAAACUGCCAUGCUGGAGUGCCGGAGAGGUAAGCGGAAUUCCUAGUGGAGCGGUGAAAUGCAUAGAUAUCACGCAGAACUCCGAUUGCGAAGGCAGCAUACCGGCGCCCUACUGACGCUGAGGCACGAAAGCGUGGGUAUCGAACAGGAUUAGAUACCCCUGUAGUC